rnacentral:rRNA from 1 species
GACGAACGCUGGCGGCGUGCUUAACACAUGCAAGUCGAGCGGAAAGGCUCCUUCGGGGGUACUCGAGCGGCGAACGGGUGAGUAACACGUGAGUAAUCUGCCCUUGGCUUUGGGAUAAGCCCCGGAAACGGGGUCUAAUACCGGAUACGACGCACUCUCGCAUGGGAUGUGUGUGGAAAGUUUUUCGGCCAGGGAUGUGCUCGCGGCCUAUCAGCUUGUUGGUGGGGUAAUGGCCUACCAAGGCUUCGACGGGUAGCCGGCCUGAGAGGGUGACCGGCCACACUGGGACUGAGACACGGCCCAGACUCCUACGGGAGGCAGCAGUGGGGAAUAUUGGACAAUGGGCGGAAGCCUGAUCCAGCAACGCCGCGUGAGGGAUGACGGCCU